GAUUUUCAGGCCUUCAGGGGCAAGAGUACAGCCAGUUGUGGGGAGUGAGUGUGUGUGUGUGUGUAUGUGUGUGUAUACCCAGAUCUGAAAAUCCAUUGGGAAGUCAACGCAUGGCUGCCAAUACUUCUCUGUGACUGACUGAUCUGUCCUUCCAUCUCUCAGUCAACUCAUUCAGUUUCUUCAUCAGCACACAGAAAACUGCCCUCCAGGGCUUCCCCACUUCCAUGUAACAGACAAGCUUGAGAGGGGCUGUCAGACACAGAUCUAUAUCCCAGGAGGCACCUUGGCUCAGAUGCCAUCCCUUCCCCUGUCCUUUGUGGUGAGGAGCAGAGAUGGCUUAUUUACUAGAAUGGCUGCCAGAGGCUCACCCUGUAGGUCUGGAGUAGAUCAUAGAGAAGGUAAACGGCAGUCACCCCAGAGGAACUCCAAGGCCACUGUGCCUCAGCCUCCCUCAACAGGAGGCAUGACACCACCCCAUGAAUGGAAACUGACCAGGAGAAACCUUACUUUUUACUUUCUCUGUUUUGUGGUCCAGGAACUCACAUGUGCUAGGUGAGCGCUCUACCACUGAGCUACACCCCUACCCUGCUUUUUUUUUUCUUUUUAAGAUACAGCAGCUACAUUAUAUAGAUUUGAAUCUUAAGCACACAACCAGAUGGAUUUUACAUCUGUUUUCAAUUUCAAGGCUGAGAACAACUCCAGCACUCUAGAGGGCUCUCUCAGGGCCUCCUUCUCAUUAAUGUCCCCCAGAAGGGGGAUGAAAAGUGUCCCAAUUUCCCAACUUUCCUCACUAUCAGUGAGUUUUGCCUCUUCUUGACCUUCAGGUAGAUGGAUCUUGCAGUCUGUGUUCUUUGUCUCUGACUUUUCUUGUUUUCAUCUUAUUUAUUUAUUUAUAAUUUAUUUAUUCUGAUUAGGUAUAUAUGACAGCAGAAUACAUUUCGAUUCAUUGUAUAUAGCUGCAGCACAACUUUUCUCGGGUUCUCUGACUUUUCAUGUUCAACAUUAUGCCAGAAAAAUUGUCCCAUAUGGUUGAAAUGAGCUCAGUUUUAAAUUUAAAAAAUUUUUUUAAUUAAAUUAACUAUCUGUUUAAAGACAGUCUCACUAUGUGGACCAGGCUGGACUCAAAAUCC
rnacentral:lncRNA from 1 species